rnacentral:rRNA from 1 species
UGGGGAAUUUUGGACAAUGGGCGAAAGCCUGAUCCAGCAAUGCCGCGUGUGUGAAGAAGGCCUUCGGGUUGUAAAGCACUUUUGUCCGGAAAGAAAUCCUUGGCUCUAAUACAGUCGGGGGGAUGACGGUACCGGAAGAAUAAGCACCGGCUAACUACGUGCCAGCAGCCGCGGUAAUACGUAGGGUGCAAGCGUUAAUCGGAAUUACUGGGCGUAAAGCGUGCGCAGGCGGUUUGCUAAGACCGAUGUGAAAUCCCCGGGCUCAACCUGGGAACUGCAUUGGUGACUGGCAGGCUAGAGUAUGGCAGAGGGGGGUAGAAUUCCACGUGUAGCAGUGAAAUGCGUAGAGAUGUGGAGGAAUACCGAUGGCGAAGGCAGCCCCCUGGGCCAAUACUGACGCUCAUGCACGAAAAGCGUGGGGAGCAAAACAGGAUUAGAUACCCUGGUAGUCCACGCCCUAAACGAUGUCAACUAGUUGUUGGGGAUUCAUUUCCUUAGUAACGUAGCUAACGCGUGAAGUUGACCGCCUGGGGAGUACGGUCGCAAGAUUAAAACUCAAAGGAAUUGACGGGGUCAUA